UGUUCCAUGGCUUAGUUAGUUAUGGUGUCUGACUGUUAAUGCUCUCAAUUGGAAGAUUGAGAGUUCAAGUCUCUCUGGAACAG